rnacentral:rRNA from 1 species
CCUACGGGUGGCAGCAGUGAGGGAUAUUGGUCAAUGGGGGGAACCCUGAACCAGCAACGCCGCGUGAGGGAAGACGGUUUUCGGAUUGUAAACCUCUGUCCUCUGUGAAGAUAAUGACGGUAGCAGAGGAGGAAGCUCCGGAUAACUACGUGCCAGCAGCCGCGGGAAUACGUAGGGAGCCAGCGUUGUCCGGAUUUACUGGGUGUAAAGGGUGCGUAUGCGGACCUUUAAGUCAGAAGUGAAAUCCAUGGGCUGAACCCGUGAACUGCUUUUGAAACUGUAGGGCUUGAGUGAAGUAGAGGCAGGCGGAAUUCCCGGUGUAGCGGUGAAAUGCGUAGAGAUCGGGAGGAACACCAGUGGCGAAGGCAGCCUGCUGGGCUUUAACUGACGCUGAAGCACGAAAGCGUGGGUAGCAAACAGGAUUAGAUACCUUUGUAGUC